rnacentral:rRNA from 1 species
UACAGAGGGUGCAAGCGUUGUUCGGAAUUAUUGGGCGUAAAGGGUGCGUAGGCGGUGCGGUAAGUCUGUAGUGAAAUCUCUGGGCUCAACCCCGAGCGGUCGUGGGAAACUGGUUGGCUAGAGUGCGGGAGAGGAGAGUGGAAUUCCUGGUGUAGCGGUGAAAUGCGCAGAUAUCAGGAAGAACACCCGUGGCGAAGGCGGCUCUCUGGAACGCAACUGACGCUGAGACGCGAAAGCGUGGGGAGCAAACAGG